rnacentral:tRNA from 1 species
GGCGGAGGUACCCAAG